rnacentral:rRNA from 1 species
UUGAAAUCUGGCGCCUUCGGUGUCCGAGUUGUAAUUUGAAGAUUGUAACCUUGGGGUUGGCUCUUGUCUAUGUUUCUUGGAACAGGACGUCACAGAGGGUGAGAAUCCCGUGCGAUGAGAUGCCCAAUUCUAUGUAAGGUGCUUUCGAAGAGUCGAGUUGUUUGGGAAUGCAGCUCUAAGUGGGUGGUAAAUUCCAUCUAAAGCUAAAUAUUGGCGAGAGACCGAUAGCGAACAAGUACAGUGAUGGAAAGAUGAAAAGAACUUUGAAAAGAGAGUGAAAAAGUACGUGAAAUUGUUGAAAGGGAAGGGUUUGAGAUCAGACUCGAUAUUUUGUGAGCCUUGCCUUCGUGGCGGGGUGACCCGCAGCUUAUCGGGCCAGCAUCGGUUUGGGCGGUAGGAUAAUGGCGUAGGAAUGUGACUUUACUUCGGUGAAGUGUUAUAGCCUGCGUUGAUGCUGCCUGCCU